UACGUAGGGGGCAAGCGUUGUCCGGAUUUAUUGGGCGUAAAGAGCGUGUAGGCGGCCAGAUAGGUCAGCUGUGAAAACUCGAGGCUCAACCUCGAGAUGUCGGCUGAAACCAUCUGGCUAGAGUCCGGAAGAGGAGAAUGGAAUUCCCGGUGUAGCGGUGAAGUGCGCAGAUAUCGGGAAGAACACCCGUGGCGAAGGCGGUUCUCUGGGACGGUACUGACGCUGAGACGCGAAAGCGUGGGGAGCGAACAGG
rnacentral:rRNA from 1 species